AUAUGAUUGGAGGGUUGCGUGGAAUGUUUGAGAACCAAGCUAGGGUUGAGAGGUACAACAUCUCAAAAUCCUUGUUCUCGUGCAAGCUAGCAGAAGGUAGCCCGGUCAAUCCUCAUGUGAUCAAAAUGAUUGAUUACAUUGAGACUUUGGACAGACUUGGCUCUGAGCUCCAUGAUGAUCUUGCUGUUGACGUCAUUCUCCAGUCGCUCCCGCCGAGCUACGAGCCCUUCAUUAUGAAUUUUCAAAAGAAUGGUAUGGAGAAAUCGUUGUCUGAAUUACAUGGCAUGCUUAAAACCGCAGAAGAAAGCAUCAAGAAAAGUACCAAUCAUGUGAUGGUGGUACGAAAGGAGAACAAAAAGAGGAAGUGUUGGACGCCUCCCAAAGGCAAGGGCAAGGGCAAGGAAAAGGUUUCCAAAGAUCCCCAGGGCUCUAAGAUUAAGGCCAAAUCUGGCCCUUCUCCUAAUGAUGAAUGCUUCCACUGCAAGGGCAAGGGACACUAGUCAAGAAACUGCAAGAAAUACUUGGAGGAUCUGAAAAAGAAGAAGGGAAGUGAGACUUCCGCUUCAGGGCCUUCAAAGGACUAGAAGAUUUGCAAGAGGCGAGUUGGAUGUUCGUGUCGGCAAUGGAGCAAAGGUUGCAGUCAUGGCGGUCGGUACUUAUCACUUGUCGUUACCCUCAGGCUUAGUUUUGGAAUUAAAUAAUUGUUAUUGCAUUCCUGCUUUGAGUAAGAACAUUAUCUCUUCUUCAUGUUUGGAGGAAGUUGAUGGUUAUGAGAUUGUAAUAAAGAACAAGCGUUGUUCCAUUUA